rnacentral:rRNA from 1 species
UACGGGGGGGGCAAGCGUUGUUCGGAUUUACUGGGCGUAAAGGGUGCGUAGGUGGUUGGUUAAGUCGGGCGUGAAAGCUUUACCACUCAACGGAAAGAGGUCGCUCGAAACUGGCUGACUAGAGUAGGGUAGAGGCAAGCGGAAUUCCUGGUGUAGCGGUGGAAUGUGCAGAUAUCAGGAAGAACAUCGGUGGCGAAGGCGGCUUGCUGGGCCCUUACUGACGCUGAGGCACGAAAGCGUGGGGAGCAAACGGG